GGGGAUGUGGCUCAGUAGUACAGCACUUGUCUAGCAUGUGUGAAGCCCUGGGUUUGAUUCCCAGCACUGCCA
rnacentral:tRNA from 1 species